rnacentral:rRNA from 1 species
GAUGAACGCUGGCGGCGUGCCUAAUACAUGCAAGUCGAGCGAACGGACGAGAAGCUUGCUUCUCUGAUGUUAGCGGCGGACGGGUGAGUAACACGUGGAUAACCUACCUAUAAGACUGGGAUAACUUCGGGAAACCGUAGCUAACACCGGAUAAUAUUUUGAACCGCAUGGUUCAAAAGUGAAAGACGGUCUUGCUGUCACUUAUAGAUGGAUCCGCGCUGCAUUAGCUAGUUGGUAAGGUAACGGCUUACCAAGGCAACGAUGCGUAGCCGACCUGAGAGGAUGAUCAGCCACACUGGAACUGAGACACGGUCCAGACUCCUACGGGAGGCAGCAGUAGGGAAUCUUGCGCAAUGGGCGAAAGCCUGACGGAGCAACGCCGCGUGAGUGAUGAAGGUCUUCGGAUCGUAAAACUCUGUUAUUAGGGAAGAACAUAUGUGUAAGUAACUGUGCACAUCUUGACGGUACCUAAUCAGAAAGCCACGGCUAACUACGUG